GGAGGAGAGCUCAUGCGUGGGGCUACGAGCUGAGUGCAUUUAGCCACUCUACCCCAUGUCCUUUGGGAAGGACUGAGACUAGGGCCAAAAGUGGCCCUAACAGGGCCCUCCCUGAACCUUGGGGAGGUGAGUUCCCAGGGAACGGGUCUCCGUGUGAGGGUGGACUGGGCAGGAGAUGCCAUGGGACCCUGCCCUUGAAGAGGAGCCUGGCAGAUGCCUCCUGAGCAGAAGCUUGGAAAAGAAUAGAGAGUGGUGGGGACUGUGGCAGAUUGGAGAGAAUGCACACCUUGAAAGCGAUUGCUUUAUUUUGUCUCCACUGGGUGUGCUGGCCUGGCAUUGCUAAAUCUCUGAACUUUUAAAAUAUUAUUUGACUCU
rnacentral:RNase_P_RNA from 1 species